CUCCACACUGCCUCUCAUGGGGGGCUGGGAUAGAGAGGAAGACAGGUGUGCAGGCCUGGUCCUGUUCUGAGGACUCUGCUGAACCGGAUCCUAUGAGGUUAUUUUGUAAACUCUAAUAUAUGACUUGUAAACUGGACAUGAACAAGAAUUUGUGAUAUAGCCUCUUUACCAGGAUUGAAGAAGAUAGAAAGAAAAAAAUCUUGGACAAAUUAAUUGCAGGAAGAAAUGAUCAAAUUUUGGCUUACAUAUUUUGCAACAGUGGUAUAACACAAAGAAGUAAGCAAAUAUGGCAGAAGUGUGGUGGCUUUGGCGUCUACUUUUGACCAUAGUGGUGGCCCUGUUAUUCGUGGCUCCCGGGGUUCCUACACAUCCUUCCCGAUGGAAGAAGGGGUUGGCCAAAAAGGUCAGCCAGCUGAUGGGUUGGACCAAGAAAGACAGAGUGAUAAGAAUGAGUGACACCAUGUUCUAUCAUUUUGUAUUAGAUGCACCAAAAAACUA
rnacentral:lncRNA from 10 species